UGAGGAAUAUUGGACAAUGGGCGCGAGCCUGAUCCAGCCAUGCCGCGUGCAGGAAGAAGCAUCUAUGGUGUGUAAACUGCUUUUGUACGGGAGGAAACACUCCUACGUGUAGGAGCUUGACGGUACCGUAAGAAUAAGGAUCGGCUAACUCCGUGCCAGCAGCCGCGGUAAUACGGAGGAUCUAAGCGUUAUCCGGAAUCAUUGGGUUUAAAGGGUCCGUAGGCGGUUUAAUAAGUCAGUGGUGAAAGCCCAUCGCUCUACGAUGGAACGGCCAUUGAUACUGCUAGACUUGAAUUACAAGGAAGUAACUAGAAUAUGUAGUGUAGCGGUGAAAUGCUUAGAUAUUACAUGGAAUACCAAUUGCGAAGGCAGGUUACUACUUGUGGAUUGACGCUGAUGGACGAAAGCGUGGGGAGCGAACA
rnacentral:rRNA from 1 species